rnacentral:lncRNA from 1 species
GCUGGAGUGCAGUGAUGUGAUCUCGGCUCACUACAACCUCUGCCCCGCCUGGAUUUAAGCAAUUCUCCUGCCUCAGUCUCCAGAGUAGCUGGGAUUACAGGCCAGUGGAUUCUCAGAAUUCAUAGCAUUACCUUGCUGAGUGGGCAGUGCUCCAGGACACCUGUGAUGACUUCACUUCCAAGUGCCCACCUGAGCCAGGCUGGUACCCACCUGAAGGAAGGCCACCAAACAGCAUCUAAGCCUGGCUGCCAAAGGAAAGGCAGGACAGGUAUUCUGAGGUUGGGCACAGGUCAAUCUGAGGUGGUUGGCCCUGGGGAUGCAACAGUUGUUGUUUGUUGUUUUUUGAGACGGAGUUGUGCUCUGUUGCUCAGGUUGGACUGCAAUGGCACUAUCUCAGCUCACUGCAACCUCUGCCUCCUGAGUUCAAGCGUUUUUCCUGCCUCAGCCUCCCAAAUGGAGUCUCACUCUGCCCCCAGGCUGGAGUGCAAUGGCAUGAUCUCGGCUCCCAGCUCACUGCAACAUCCGCCUCCCGAGUAUCUGGGAUUAUAGGCGCCCACCACCAAGCCCGGCUAAUUUUUGUAUUUUUAGUAAAAACGAGGUUUCACCAUGUUGGCCAGGCUGGUCUCAAACUACUGACCUCUAGUGAUCUGCCCACCUCAGUCCCCCAAAGUACUGGGAUUACAGGCGUGAGUCACUAUGCCUGGCCAAUUUUUCUGUAAAUCUAAAACUGUUCUAAAAAUAAAGUCGAUUAUUUUAUUUAUUUGUUUGUUUAUUUUGAGACAGAGUCUAGCUCCGUCAGCCAGGCUGGAGUGCAGUGGCACAAUCUCGGCUCACUGCAACCUCUGCCUCCUGGGUUCAAGUGAUUCUCCUGCCUCAGCCUCCCGAGUAGCUGGGACUACAGGCACCUGCCACUACACCCGGCUAAUUAAGUCUAUUAUUUUAAAAAUUACAUCUGUUUGUUUAUUUGGAUUUUUUUUUUUUUUUUUUUUUGAGACAGAACCUUGCUCUGUCACCUAGGCUGGAGUGUAGUUGCACAAUCAUGGCUCACUGCAGCCUUCACCACCUGGGCUCAAUCAAUCCUCCUGCCUCAGCCUCCCAAGUAGCAGCAGGGACUACAGGCAUGCACCACCAUGCCCAGCUAAUUUUUACGUUGUUUUUUUUUUUUUUUUUUUUGUAGAGAUGUGUCUCACCGUGUCGCCCAGGCUGGCUGGCUAUUUUUUUCUGUUUUCUGUAGAGACAGGGGUCUCACUAUGUUGCCCAGGCUGCUAUCAAACUCCUGGGCUCAGACUCCCAAAAUGUUGGGAUUACAGGUGUGAGCCACCACACUUGGCCUAAAAGCUACAUCUGUUUUAAUAUGAACUACCUAAUACCUGGCAAGAUGAUGGGCUGAGGGGAGACCAGCAGGCUGAAGCCUCAGAGCCUCAGAGCAUCCACUUCUGUUAGUGCAUUCCUGCCAUAGAAAGUUCAUUUCGGAAAGAGGAAUAUUAUCUUUUUUUUUUUCCAGACAGGGUCUCACUCUGUCGCCCAGGCUGGAGUGCAGUGGUGCGAUCUCGGCUCACUGCAAUCUCUGCCUCCUGGGUUCAAGUGAUUCUUAUGCCUCAGCCUCCUGAGUAGCUGGUAUUGCAGGUGCCUGCCACCAUGCCCCCCUAAUAAUCCAGCGAGGAAUACUAUUCCUUUUUAAAUGACUGGCAGUUAGGACUGUUUGUUUUGUUUGCAGCAACCAUGUAAAGGCAAAGCCACCCAUGUGGUGUGGAAGGGCAGGAACUGGUCCUGUGCCAAGUUGUGCCUUCUCUCUCUGUGGUGGAGGGGGUGGUGGGGCCUGCAGGGAACUAGGCAAACUCAGGCCCUGCCAAAAGGGAUGACAGAUGCUCCCCUCCAGCUGGCAAUAGCCGUGGGACAGAGAGGACCCAGAACUGCCAGAUCUUUCCAUAUUUCAAAAGAAAUGAUUAAUCUAGCUUUUCAUGAGAAGUCUCCUGAUUUUUAAAUGUUGCCAAGUAAUUCUAAUUUUAUUUAAACACUGCUCACUAUAUAAACAAUAUACAUCCAGCUCAGUAUACAAUACACAUCCAGUCAAGCACUACCUAGGUUGAGUUACUCAAGGGUGGGAUAAUAUGGUUUUAUUCUUUCUGUGCCCCUCAGGACAUAGCACAGCACCUGAUGUGUAAUUGCUACUCCAAAAUAUAUAUGGAAUAAUGAACAAAAUAAUACAGUUAGGGAAAUUAGACAUACAUAUACUGACAAUUAUUUAUUUAUUUAUGUUGAUAUGGAGUUUCACUCUUGUUUUCCAGGCUGGAGUGCAAUGGCAUGAUCUCAUUUCACUGCAGCCUCCAUCUCCCGUGUUCAAGUGAUUAUCCUGCCUCAGCCUCUUGAGUUGCUGGGACUACAGGCAUGCGCCAUCAUGCCCAGCUAAUUUUUGUAUUUUUGGUAGAGACAGGGCUUCACCAUGUUGGCCAGGCUGGUCUCGAACUCCUGUCCUGAGGUGAUCCUCUUGCCUUGGCCUCCCAAAGUGCUGGGAUUACAGGCCUGAGCCACUGCGCCCAGCCUAUAUUGACAAUUAAUGAUCGAACAGAUGAAUAGAAUGGGUUGCGAUGCAAAUCACCACCAUGCAUCUUUGUGAUUCUCCCAGCAAUGCAGUAUUGAUUUUGAUUUACAAUUUUGGCAUAGUUAGCUCCAGGGGUUUCCACUUGGAUGCCUUCAUUGCAUGAACUAAGG